rnacentral:rRNA from 1 species
UGGGGAAUCUUGCACAAUGGGGGCAACCCUGAUGCAGCGACGCCGCGUGAGCGAUGAAGCCCUUCGGGGCGUAAAGCUCUUUCGACCGGAACGAUAAUGACGGUACCGGGAGAAGAAGCUGCGGCUAACUACGUGCCAGCAGCCGCGGUAAUACGUAGGCAGCAAGCGUUGUUCGGAGUUACUGGGCGUAAAGAGUGCGUAGGCGGUUUUCUAAGUUCGGUGUGAAAUCUCCCGGCUUAACUGGGAGGGUGCGCCGAAGACUGGGAAGCUGGAGUGUGGGAAAGGCAGGCGGAAUUCCUGGUGUAGCGGUGAAAUGCGUAGAUAUCAGGAGGAACACCGGCGGUGUAGACGGCUUGCUAGACCAUAACUGACGCUGAUGCACGAAAGCGUGGGUAGCAAACA